GACGAACGCUGGCGGCGUGCUUAACACAUGCCAGUCGAACGAAGAGCGAUGGAAGCUUGCUUCUAUCAAUCUUAGUGGCGAACGGGUGAGUAACGCGUAAUCAACCUGCCCUUCAGAGGGGGACAACAGUUGGAAACGACUGCUAAUACCGCAUACGAUCUAAUCUCGGCAUCGAGGAUAGAUGAAAGGUGGCCGCUACAUGUAAGCUAUCACUGCAGGUGGGGAUUGCGUCUGAUUAGCUAGUUGGCGGGGUAACGGCCCACCAAGGCGAUGAUGAGUAGCACGUCUGAGAGGAUGAACAGCCACAUUGGGACGGAGACACGGCACAGUCUCAUACAGGAGGCAGCAGUAGGGAAUCUUCCGCAAUGGACGAAAGUCUGACGGAGCAACGCCGCGUGAGUGAGGGCGGCCUUCGGGUUGGAAAGCUCUGUUAAUCGGGACGAAAGGCCUUCUGGCGAAUAGUGAGAAGGAUUGACGGUACCGGAAUAGAAAGCCACGGCUAACUACGUG
rnacentral:rRNA from 1 species